rnacentral:other from 2 species
UGCACCCUUCGCUGUACGUGCGGUGGGAAUUAGUUUUGAGCCAACACUUUAUGAAGGGGAGCCGGGUUCCGCGACUAGUGCGGCUGGUGCUGUACGACUCAAGGGCUGGCACCCACCUGCGAAAGCAGGUUCAAAACUACCCCGCUCACGGCUGAUAGAAGGGUGUUU